GUCCCUGUAGCGUAAUGAGUAUUGCAUUGAAAUUUUAAUUCAGUUCGUGGGUUCGAAUUCCACCUGGGAUG